rnacentral:rRNA from 1 species
AUACGUAGGUGGCAAGCGUUGUCCGGAAUUAUUGGGCGUAAAGCGCAUGUAGGCGGUGCCUUAAGUCUGUCGUGAAACUGCGGGGCCUAACCCCGUAUGGCGAUGGAAACUGUGGCACUUGAGUGCAGGAGAGGAAAGGGGAACUCCCAGUGUAGCGGUGAAGUGCGUAGAUAUUGGGAAGAACACCGGUGGCGAAGGCGCCUUUCUGGACUGUGUCUGACGCUGAGAUGCGAAAGCCGGGGUAGCGAACGGGAUUGGAUACCCCGGUAGUCCUGGCCGUAAACGAUGGGUACUAGGUGUGGGAGGUAUCGACCCCUUCCGUGCCGGAGUUAACGCAAUAAGUACCCCGCCUGGGGAGUACGGCCGCAAGGCUUAAACUCAAAGGAAUUGACGGG